CUCGCACCACCCUAAUAUAUAUAUAUAUACAUGGAUAAAAUAAACAAACAAGCAGAAGAGAAAAGAGAAAAUGAGUUGAUUGAUAAUUGUGUUUUCAUAGACAUAUUUUUUUGUGUUUGAUUUCAUAAAAUACUCUUUCUCUCUCUCUCUCUCUAGACAUAUUUCAACAAAUAAAAGAAAGAAGUACUCAUACCUUGCCAGUGACAAAGAUAACGAAGUUUGGAUGGUCGAUGAUGCCGUUAAGAUAAUUCUAAAAAGGUAUAACACAGAGAGAAAGA
rnacentral:ribozyme from 1 species